UACAGGGGAAAGACAACAGGGAUUGCCCUAGUAACGGCGAGUGAAGCGGCAAUAGCUCAGAUUUGAAAUCUGGCGUCUUUGGCGUCCGAGUUGUAAUCUGUAGAGGAUGCCUUUGGGUAGCCACCGGUCUAAGUCCCCUGGAACGGGGCGUCACAGAGGGUGAGAAUCCCGUAUGUGACCGGAAGGGCACCCUCCACAAGGCUCCUUCGACGAGUCGAGUUGUUUGGGAAUGCAGCUCUAAAUGGGAGGUAAAUUCCUUCUAAAGCUAAAUACCGGCCAGAGACCGAUAGCGCACAAGUAGAGUGAUCGAAAGAUGAAAAGCACUUUGGAAAGAGAGUUAAAAAGCACGUGAAAUUGUUGAAAGGGAAGCGCUUGCAACCAGACUUGUUGGCGGUGUUCCGCCGGUCUUCUGACCGGUCCACUCACCGUCUGCAGGCCAGCAUCAUCUGGGGCCGCCGGAUAAAAGCGAGGGGAAUGUGGCUCCCCCGGGAGUGUUAUAGCCCCUCGUGCAAUACGGCGAGCCUCGGGUGAGGUCCGCGCUUCGGCUAGGAUGCUGGCGUAAUGGUCGUAAGCGGCCCGUCUUGAAACACGGACCAAGGAGUCUAACAUCUAUGCGAGUGUUCGGGUGUCAAACCCCUACGCGUAAUGAAAGUGAACGGAGGUGGGAGCCUUAGGGUGCACCAUCGACCGAUCCUGAUGUCUUCGGAUGGAUUUGAGUAAGAGCAUAGCUGUUGGGACCCGAAAGAUGGUGAACUAUGCCUGGAUAGGGUGAAGCCAGAGGAAACUCUGGUGGAGGCUCGCAGCGGUUCUGACGUGCAAAUCGAUCGUCAAAUUUGGGUAUAGGGGCGAAAGACUAAUCGAACCAUCUAGUAGCUGGUUCCUGCGAUUUUCCCCCGGAGAAAAAAAAACAUAAAGUCCCCA
rnacentral:rRNA from 1 species